rnacentral:rRNA from 1 species
AUUGAACGCUGGCGGCAGGCCUAACACAUGCAAGUCGAACGGUAACAGAAAGCAGCUUGCUGCCUUGCUGACGAGUGGCGGACGGGUGAGUAAUGUCUGGGAAACUGCCUGAUGGAGGGGGAUAACUACUGGAAACGGUAGCUAAUACCGCAUAACGUCGCAAGACCAAAGAGGGGGACCUUCGGGCCUCUUGCCAUCGGAUGUGCCCAGAUGGGAUUAGCUAGUAGGUGGGGUAACGGCUCACCUAGGCGACGAUCCCUAGCUGGUCUGAGAGGAUGACCAGCCACACUGGAACUGAGACACGGUCCAGACUCCUACGGGAGGCAGCAGUGGGGAAUAUUGCACAAUGGGCGCAAGCCUGAUGCAGCCAUGCCGCGUGUAUGAAGAAGGCCUUCGGGUUGUAAAGUACUUUCAGCGGGGAGGAAGGGAGUAAAGUUAAUACCUUUGCUCAUUGACGUUACCCGCAGAAGAAGCACCGGCUAACUCCGUG